rnacentral:rRNA from 1 species
AUUGAACGCUGGCGGCAGGCCUAACACAUGCAAGUCGAACGAGUGGCGGACGGGUGAGUAAUGUCUGGGAAACUGCCUGAUGGAGGGGGAUAACUACUGGAAACGGUAGCUAAUACCGCAUACCAUCAGAUGUGCCCAGAUGGGAUUAGCUUGUUGGUGGGGUAACGGCUCACCAAGGCGACGAUCCCUAGCUGGUCUGAGAGGAUGACCAGCCAAACGUGAACUGAGGCACGGUCAAGGCUCCUACGGGAGGCAGGAAUGGGGAAUAUUGGACAAUUGGCGCAAGGCUGAUGGAGCCAUGCCGCGUGUAUGGAGGAGGCCUUCGGGUUUUAAAGUACUUUCAGCGGGGAGGCGUUACCCGCAGAAGAAGCACCGGCUAACUCCGUGCCAGCAGCCGCGGUAAUAC